GGGCCCGCACAAGCGGUGGAGUAUGUGGUUUAAUUCGAAGCAACGCGCAGAACCUUACCUACCCUUAACAUCCCGGGACCGUGCUAGAGAUAGUACUUUCUCUUCGGAGACUCGGUGAUAGGUGCUGCAUGGCUGUCGUCAGCUCGUGUCGUAGGAUGUCUGGUUAAGUCCAAUAACGAGCGCAACCCUUAUCUUUAGUUACCAGCAUUAAGUUGGGUACUUUAAAGAGACUGCCGGUGUCAAACCGGAGGAAGGCGGGGAUGACGUCAAGUCCUCAUGGCCCUUACGGGUAGGGCUACACACGUACUACAAUGGCAGAAACAAACCGUUGCAAAGCCGCGAGGUGGAGCUAAUCGGUAAAACACUGUCUCAGUCCGGAUUGGAGUCUGCAACUCGACUCCGUGAAGUCGGAAUU
rnacentral:rRNA from 1 species